rnacentral:rRNA from 1 species
UACGUAGGGGGCAAGCGUUAUCCGGAUUUACUGGGCGUAAAGGGAGCGCAGACGGCAGGGCAAGUCUGAAGUGAAAGCCCGGGGCCCAACCCCGGGACUGCUUUGGAAACUGUCCGGCUGGAGUGCAGGAGGGGUGGGCGGAAUUCCUAGUGUAGCGGUGAAAUGCGUAGAUAUUAGGAGGAACACCGGCGGCGAAGGCGGCCCACUGGACUGCAACUGACGUUGAGGCUCGAAAGCGUGGGGAGCAA